rnacentral:lncRNA from 1 species
UGAACUUCACCACUCGCUCCACCUUCUCCACCAACUACCGGUCCCUGGGCUUUGUCCAGGCGCCCAGCUACAGUGCCCGGCCAGUCAGCAGCAUGGCCAGCGUCUAUGCAGGCACCAGGGGCUCUGGUUCCUGGAUCUCCAUGUCCCACUCCGCCAGCUUCUGGGGCGGCAUGGGGUCUGGGGGCCUGUCCGCGGGGAUGGCUGGGGGUCUUGCAAGAAUGGGAGGCAUCCAGAACAAGAAGGAGACCAUGCAAAGCCUGAAGUACUGCCUGACCUCCUACCUGAACACAGUGAGGAACCUGGAGAUGGAGAACUGGAAGCUAGAGAGCAAAAUCCGGGAGCACCUGGAGAAGAAGGGACCCCAGUUCAGAGACUGGAGCCGUUACUUCCAGACCAUCAAGGACCUGAGGGCUCAGAUCUUCGCAAAUACUGUGGACAAUGCCUGCAUCGUUCUGCAGAUUGACAGUGCCCGUCUUGCAGCUGAUGAUUUUAGAGUCAAGUAUGAGACGGAGCUGGCCGUGCACUAGUCUGUGGAGAAUGACAUCCAUGGGCUCUGCAAGGUCAUUGAUGACACCAGUGUCACUUGGCUGCAGCUGGAGACAGAGAUCAAGGCUCGCAAGGAAGAGCUGCUCUUCAUGAAGAAGAACCACGGAGAGGAAGUAAAAGGCCUACAAGCCCAGAUUGCCAGCUCUGGGUUGACCUUGGAGGUAGAUCCCCAAAUCUCAGGACCUCGCCAAGAUCAUGGCAGACAUCUGGGCCCAAUAUGACAAGCUGGCUCGGAAGAACAGAGAGGAGCUGGACAAGUACUGGUCUCAGCAGAUUGAGGAGAGCACCACGGUGGUCACCACGCAGUCCGUCAAGGUUGGAGCUGCUGAGACGACACUCACGGAGCUGAGAUAUACAGUCCAGUCCUUGGAGACUGACCUGGACUCAAUGAGAAAUCUGAAGGCCAGCUUGGAGAACAGCCUGAGGGAGGUGGAGGCCCGCUACACCCUGCAGAUGGAGCAGCUCAACGGGAUCCUGCUUUACCUGGAGUCAGAGCUGGCACAGACCCGGGCAGAGGGGUAGCGCCAGGCCGAGGAGUAUGAGGCCCUGCAGAACAUCAAGGUCAACCUGGAGGAUGAGAUCGCCACCUACCGCUGCCUGCUGGAAGAUGGCGAGGACUUCAAUCUUGGUGAUGCCCUGGACAGCAGCAACUCCAUGCAAACCAUUCAAAAGACCACCACCUGCCGGAUAGUGGAUGGCAAAGUGGUGUCUGAGACCAAUGACCCCAAAGUUC